AUACAUUUUUUUUUUUUUUGUACCGGGGAUCAAACUCUGGUCUUUGCGCUUGUGUAGCAGGUGGCGAAACCACUGAGCUAAAUCCCCGGCCCUAGACUCACACAUUAUUAACAGCUCAAACUUUGAAGGUGAACAAUCCUUUUCCACCUUAAUGCAGUGUAGGAAGAAUAGCACACAUUAAAGUUUGUUACGAAAAUAGAGUUUAUUAAAAACAUCCCUAUUGUUUUGAGGAGCUUUCACCGUUACCUUGUCUUAAAUUAAAAAAAAAUAGAGAGCACUUCUAAUUACGAUUUGUAAACUUUUUAAAGUCAAAACUUUUAAAAAGUUACAGCAAAAAGGGUAAUAUUUAUUCAUUUUCAGUAUUUUUUGUUAUUUUGUAGCUAUUUUUAAAUAGAAGGGAAGCAAUCAAAUUGCUUACAAUUCCCCAACUACUGCGGGGCUGUGAGAUAGCAGGAGCAAAUAUAAUACAGCAUCUGUACACCUCAAGCUCUACACUCCGCAAGUGUCACUGUCACAUUUUGACAAGUCGCAGUCUCUAGCGAGGAGCCUCUGCUGCUGAGCCAGAAUCCUUUUCAGGUUCAACGGAUGAGGUAGCCUCAGCAGGUGACUCUUCAGGAGGUUUUGCCACAGUGGCCUGGGCCUCCCCCUUAUCAAGUUCUGAAACAGUGUCUACAUUUCCCACCCGGCUAAGGGGAGGUUCAGUGGCUUUGUUACCACUGGCCCUGUCUGUCACCUCAGGCUUCUCCUUUCCUCGGGGUUCCUCCUUCUCUCUACGAGAUUCCCUAUCUCUGGAAUCUCUCUCUCUGUCUCGAUGCCCACUAGAGCGUCUGCUUCUCUCCUCCGAGUCUCUGUGCCUGUCCCGCUCAGGGCUUCUUCUUCCCCACUCCCUCCUUUCACGAUUACUAUUAUCUCUAUCAUCGUUACGGUUCCCAUACCGUUCCCGGUCAUUUUCCACCCUAUUUCCGAAAGAUCUUCUUCCAAACCUUUCUUGGUCUCUACCUGAAUUGAACUGCUGCCUGCUCUCAUUUCUAAACUGCUGUGGCUGCUGCUGAGCUGCUGGCGGCUGUUGCUGUGAGGGCGGCUGCUGCCUUCCAUCUCUGUCUUCAGGACCCCCGGGGCCUGGUCCUGGGCCCCCCAGCCCUGGUAUUCCACUGGGCCUCACAAAGGGCCCGUGUGGAGGAAAGGGCCCUUUCAUUCCAUGAGGUGGCGGCAUCGCGAAGCCCCCUGGUCCCGGUGGCGGCCCUCUGUGCAUCAUGUGUGGCGGCAUGGGGCGGGCGGCAUCAUAGGAAACCGCUGCAGAUGAGGGGGAGGCAUUCCCGGAGGGCGCUGAAGUGGGAUGAGGCCGGGUCGGGCACCGAGAAGACCAGUUGAUGGCGCCUGCAGCCCAAUUACAGGGCCAGGUGCGACUCCCUGAGUGCC
rnacentral:lncRNA from 1 species